AUUGAACGCUGGCGGCAGGCCUAACACAUGCAAGUCGAACGAGUGGCGGACGGGUGAGUAAUGUCUGGGAAACUGCCCGAUGGAGGGGGAUAACUACUGGAAACGGUAGCUAAUACCGCAUACCAUCGGAUGUGCCCAGAUGGGAUUAGCUAGUAGGUGGGGUAACGGCUCACCAAGGCGACGAUCCCUAGCUGGUCUGAGAGGAUGACCAGCCAAACUGGAACGGAGACACGGGCCAGACUACUACGGUAGGCAGCAGUGGGGAAUAUUGCACAAUGGGCGCAAGCCUGAUGAAGCCAUGCCGCGUGUAGGAAGAAGGCCUUCGGGUUGUAAAGUACUUUCAGCGGGGAGGCGUUACCCGCAGAAGAAGCACCGGCUAACUCCGUGCCAGCAGCCGCGGUAAUUC
rnacentral:rRNA from 1 species